UCUUUUUGUUUAUAAUUUAAAGUCUAGCCUGCCCAAUGACAAAGUUUAAUGGCCGCAGUAUUUUGACUGUGCAAAGGUAGCAUAAUCAUUAGUUUCUUAAUUAGAAACUGGAAUGAAAGGUUUUACGAAAAAAUAACUGUCUCUUGAUAGAUGUUUUAGAAAUUUAUAUUUAAGUUAAAAAGCUUAAAUAGUUUUAAAAGACGAGAAGACCCUAUAGAGUUUUAUAAUUUUUUUUAUAAUAUAUUAAAUUGAAUUUUUUAGGUUUUAUUAAAUAAAUUAUUUAAUUGGGGUGAUUGAAAAAUUUAUAUAACUUUUUUUUUUAUUGUAACAUUAAUUUAUGAAUUAUUGAUCCAUUAGUUAUGAUUAUAAGAUUAAAUUACCUUAGGGAUAACAGCGUAAUUUCUUUGAAGAGUUCAAAUCGAUAAAGAAGUUUGCGACCUCGAUGUUGGAUUAAAAUUAAUUUUUGAUGUAGCAGUUAAAAUAUUAGGUCUGUUCGACCUUUAAAAUUUUACAUGAUCUGAGUUUAAACCGGUGUGAGCCAGGUUGGUUUCUAUCUUUAAAUUAAAAUUAUAUUUUAGUACGAAAGGACCAAGUAUAGAUAAAAUUUAUUUUAUAAUGAAAAUUAUU
rnacentral:rRNA from 1 species